rnacentral:lncRNA from 1 species
GCCUACCUUGCUCCUACAUAUUGGGAACUGGAAAAGCGUGUGAGGCCGGGGAGUUCAAGGGGGGUUUCUCAGGGGCGGCGACGGGGAGGGGGAUGUCGAGGGGUGGGGGGUGGGGGCAGCGAAUACGCGGGAAAGGGACACACAAAGAGAUUGCUCUGACGGCACACACACGGCGCUGUGCACGCGUGCGCCGGGAUGCAAUUGCUAACGCGCGCCGCUGUACUGCAGCAGCAUUCCGGGUGCACCGUAGGUGCCUGCCGUACACUUCGUAACCAUUUUCGCAGCAUACAGGCGGGCGUGCGAGAGGGAAGGAUAGAUCUUUGAGAAGGAGGGGAAGUACAGGGACUUUCCGGUUGGGUUUGUGUGAAGAGUUUGUGUUUUCCAUCUCCUUUCAUGUCUGCACUUGGUGGGGGCGUGGAUACAGCCCCUCUCUCUCUCUCUCUCUCUCUCUCUUCCCGCCCGCGCGCAUGUGCGCACAUUUCCCUCGCUACAUAAUCAGGGCCUGUGUUCGUCUGUAAGUAUGUGCGGCCCCGCGGCCCCAAGUGCCACUUCCAAUUCAGUUCACGUAGUAAUCAUCAGUCCACGGGGGCCGCAUUUUUGGGUCCGAUGCCGGGCUUAUCUUGUGCCAACUGCCAACCGCAAGCCGCCGAAGUCUUCGUGUAUCGUGUGCCCAUACUGCUCUUUCGCAACAACCAACUUGCCCACCAAAGUCGAAUUCCUAAUCCCUCUCAUCGCCCGCGCCUUAUUGUGCAGACGUAUGUGUGCGUAUGUGCCAUACAUGUGUGUUUUCGUAACCCGACACGUUCCCCUUACCUUACCCUCCUCUUCCCACAUCACCCAUCCUCUCCCUCUUUCGAGUCCAGCCCAUUAUGCCUUCAAAAUGGUCCCUCUCCCUUCCUUUAACCCCAGGGCCCCUCGCCUUUACGUCUUGCGUAUGAUUUCCUUCCCUCCUACUUUCCCUCUUUCUUCUUGGUGCUGUCUAAGCUCCUUCGCACGUCUGCGGUCCUUCGGGUCGUGUGGACGUUGCAAUGGCUGGCUGGGUAACACACACCCUCACGCCCCUCUCCCCCCCCGGAUAGGGGGAGAGUGCUUUGGCGGUCGUUCCCAUUGGGGUAUACGGUUAGGUGCCCCUGGCCAGUGUCAGCCCCGGAUCGAUGACAUACAUACAUACAUACAUACAUACAUACAUACAUACAUACAUACAUACAUACAUACAUACAUACAUACAUACAAACAAACAAACAAACAUACAUACAUACAUACAUACGGUUCUACCCCCAUGUCGCCCCACCACCUUGCGGACGCCCUUCGGCAGGCACGACAGCACGUCAACGAGCUCGCGGAGGGCGCUGCCCGACUGGGGCUGCAACUGCCGGAUACGGUGUACGCCUUCAAUCUGUACGACGAACCGAUUUGCCGUUCAGUGAGCCGCUGUGUCGUACCCGUGUUUUCGGUGCACAAGCGCUUCAACACGACUAUUAACAGGCAAGCAUUUCAUGAACGCAUGGCAUGUACGGAAGCACAGCGUGAUUGCGUACCAGUACGGCCUUGAUGUUGAUGCACGUUGGAAAGCAUGCCCCCCAGGGGACUUCAAUUGAGUCAGCACCGCGGGGACUUCUUCUUGAUGAUGAUGAUGAUGAUGAUGAUGAUGCCUCCCUGGCUUUUUCCUUAAACUAAAAAAAAUCCUUCCUUUUGGAAUUCUCCAUUCCGCGCCGUGCAUUCGGCUUUGUGUGUUUUUUAGCCAGGCCUUCCUCCUGACCCUAUGACCCCUCUCCCCUCUUUCGCCAUGUGUUGUGAUACCCGUUUGUGGAUGUAGGAGUUACGACAAUGACGUUCUGCUGCCCCAUCUGGGUCAUUCGUACAACCGGUUGAUAUUCUUCCCCUGGCACCAGAAGGACUCCCUGGCGCUCUUGAGGGCUACCAUGCAGGUGGGCGCUAUGUGUAGGGGGGGCCCUAUGCGUGUGUGUGUGUCUGUGUCUGUGUU